rnacentral:rRNA from 1 species
UACGAAGGGGGCUAGCGUUGUUCGGAAUUACUGGGCGUAAAGGGCGCGUAGGCGGUCCCUCAAGUCAGGCGUGAAAGCCCCGGGCUCAACCUGGGAACCGCGCUUGAGACUGGUGGGCUAGAGUUCGGGAGAGGAUGGUGGAAUUCCCAGUGUAGAGGUGAAAUUCGUAGAUAUUGGGAAGAACACCGAUGGCGAAGGCAGCCAUCUGGACCGACACUGACGCUGAAGCGCGAAAGCGUGGGGAGCAAACAGG